GAGGGUAUAGCUCAGUGGUAGAGCACGUGAUUAGCAUGCAUGAAGUCCUGGGUUCAAUCCCCAGUGCCUUCG
rnacentral:tRNA from 1 species